rnacentral:rRNA from 7 species
AUUGAACGCUGGCGGCAUGCCUUACACAUGCAAGUCGGACGGCAGCGCGGGGGCAACCCUGGCGGCGAGUGGCGAACGGGUGAGUAAUACAUCGGAACGUGUCCUGGAGUGGGGGAUAGCCCGGCGAAAGCCGGAUUAAUACCGCAUACGCUCUGUGGAGGAAAGCGGGGGAUCUUCGGACCUCGCGCUCAAGGGGCGGCCGAUGGCAGAUUAGCUUGUUGUGGGGUAAAGGCCUACCAAGGCGACGAUCUGUAGCUGGUCUGAGAGGACGACCAGCC